rnacentral:rRNA from 2 species
AUUGGUGCUUGCAUCAUGAUUUACAUUUGAGUGAGUGGCGAACUGGUGAGUAACACGUGGGAAACCUGCCCAGAAGCGGGGGAUAACACCUGGAAACAGAUGCUAAUACCGCAUAACAACUUGGACCGCAUGGUCCGAGCUUGAAAGAUGGCUUCGGCUAUCACUUUUGGAUGGUCCCGCGGCGUAUUAGCUAGAUGGUGGGGUAACGGCUCACCAUGGCAAUGAUACGUAGCCGACCUGAGAGGGUAAUCGGCCACAUUGGGACUGAGACACGGCCCAAACUCCUACGGGAGGCAGCAGUAGGGAAUCUUCCACAAUGGACGAAAGUCUGAUGGAGCAACGCCGCGUGAGUGAAGAAGGGUUUCGGCUCGUAAAACUCUGUUGUUAAAGAAGAACAUAUCUGAGAGUAACUGUUCAGGUAUUGACGGUAUUUAACCAGAAAGCCACGGCUAACUACGUGCCAGCAGCCGCGGUAAUACGUAGGUGGCAAGCGUUGUCCGGAUUUAUUGGGCGUAAAGCGAGCGCAGGCGGUUUUUUAAGUCUGAUGUGAAAGCCUUCGGCUCAACCGAAGAAGUGCAUCGGAAACUGGGAAACUUGAGUGCAGAAGAGGACAGUGGAACUCCAUGUGUAGCGGUGAAAUGCGUAGAUAUAUGGAAGAACACCAGUGGCGAAAGCGGCUGUCUGGUCUGUAACUGACGCUGAGGCUCGAAAGUAUGGGUAGCAAACAGGAUUAGAUACCCUGGUAGUCCAUACCGUAAACGAUGAAUGCUAAGUGUUGGAGGGUUUCCGCCCUUCAGUGCUGCAGCUAACGCAUUAAGCAUUCCGCCUGGGGAGUACGGCCGCAAGGCUGAAACUCAAAGGAAUUGACGGGGGCCCGCACAAGCGGUGGAGCAUGUGGUUUAAUUCGAAGCUACGCGAAGAACCUUACCAGGUCUUGACAUACUAUGCAAAUCUAAGAGAUUAGACGUUCCCUUCGGGGACAUGGAUACAGGUGGUGCAUGGUUGUCGUCAGCUCGUGUCGUGAGAUGUUGGGUUAAGUCCCGCAACGAGCGCAACCCUUAUUAUCAGUUGCCAGCAUUAAGUUGGGCACUCUGGUGAGACUGCCGGUGACAAACCGGAGGAAGGUGGGGAUGACGUCAAAUCAUCAUGCCCCUUAUGACCUGGGCUACACACGUGCUACAAUGGAUGGUACAACGAGUUGCGAACUCGCGAGAGUAAGCUAAUCUCUUAAAGCCAUUCUCAGUUCGGAUUGUAGGCUGCAACUCGCCUACAUGAAGUCGGAAUCGCUAGUAAUCGCGGAUCAGCAUGCCGCGGUGAAUACGUUCCCGGGCCUUGUACACACCGCCCGUCACACCAUGAGAGUUUGUAACACCCAA